AAAUUGAAGAGUUUGAUCAUGGCUCAGAUUGAACGCUGGCGACAGGCCUAACACAUGCAAGUCGAACGGUAACAGGAAGAAGCUUGCUUCUUUGCUGACGAGUGGCGGACGGGUGAGUAAUGUCUGGGAAACUGCCUGAUGGAGGGGGAUAACUACUGGAAACGGUAGCUAAUACCGCAUAACGUCGCAAGACCAAAGAGGGGGACCUUCGGGCCUCUUGCCAUCGGAUGUGCCCAGAUGGGAUUAGCUUGUUGGU
rnacentral:rRNA from 1 species